rnacentral:rRNA from 1 species
UACGGAGGGUGCAAGCGUUAUCCGGAUUUACUGGGUUUAAAGGGUGCGUAGGUGGGUAGGUAAGUCAGUGGUGAAAUCUUCAAGCUUAACUUGGAAACUGCCAUUGAUACUAUUUAUCUUGAAUACUUUGGAGGUAAGCGGAAUAUGUCAUGUAGCGGUGAAAUGCUUAGAUAUGACAUAGAACACCAAGUGCGAAGGCAGCGUACUACACAGUUAUUGACACUGAGGCACGAAAGCGUGGGGAUCAAACAGG